CCGAGUUUGCUUUUCUAGCUCGAAACCCACUGUGAACAUACCUCUUUACUCGUUGCUUCGGCGGCCUGGUCCCCCUCUCCCGGUCUCGGGAGGCGGGGUUCGACCGUCGGAGGGACGCAACCACAAACUCUUUUAAAUUACCUCUCGAGUAUUAUCUGAGUCGAUAUUUUUUAAAUAUCA
rnacentral:misc_RNA from 1 species